rnacentral:ncRNA from 1 species
GGGAUAGAGGCGCACCUGUUCAAGAGUACCGCGCUCGAGAGGCUGCCGAAGCCGCGCGGGAAAGGGGACGGUGCCGAAGCAGACGCCGCGGCGGGCGUUGUGCUGGCUCGGCGGAGAACAUCCGUCCGGCUGUCGCAGCAAUGCGGAGAGCUAUCGC